UUGACCUCAAAUCAGGUAGGACUACCCGCUGAACUUAAGCAUAUCAAUAAGCGGAGGAAAAGAAACUAACAAGGAUUCCCCUAGUAACUGCGAGUGAAGAGGGAAGAGCUCAAAUUUUGAAUCUGGCGGUCUCUGGCCGUCCGAGUUGUAAUCUAGAGAAGCGUUUUCCGCGCUGGACCGUGUAUAAGUCUCCUGGAAGGGAGCGUCGUAGAGGGUGAGAAUCCCGUCUUUGACACGGACUACCAGUGCUAUGUGAUGCGCUCUCGACGAGUCGAGUUGUUUGGGAAUGCAGCUCAAAUCGGGUGGUAAAUUCCAUCUAAAGCUAAAUAUAGGCGAGAGACCGAUAGCGAACAAGUAC
rnacentral:rRNA from 1 species